AGCAAACGCUGGCGGCGUGCCUAACACAUGCAAGUCGUACGAGAAAGGGUCCUUCGGGGCCUGAGUAAAGUGGCGCACGGGUGAGUAACGCGUGGAUAAUCUGCCCUUCAGUUGGGAAUAACUCAUCGAAAGGUGGGCUAAUACCGAAUAAUGCUGUGAGACCUCGGUUGAUCAGCCAAAGAGAGCCUCUGCUUGCAAGCCCUCGCUGAAGGAUGAGUCCGCGUACCAUUAGCUAGUUGGUAGGGUAAUGGCCUACCAAGGCGACGAUGGUUAGCUGGUGUGAGAGGAUGAUCAGCCACACUGGAACUGAGACACGGUCCAGACUCCUACGGGAGGCAGCAGGGAGGAAUCUUGGGCAAUGGGGGCAACCCUGACGCAGCAACGCCGCGUGAGUGAGGAAGGUCUUCGGAUCGUAAAGCUCUGUCGGAUGGAAAGAACCGCAUAGGGGUAAACAGCCCCUGUGUCUGACGGUACCAUCAAAGGAAGCACCGGCUAACUCCGUGCCAGCCGCCGCCGUAAGAC
rnacentral:rRNA from 1 species